AUUUGUAUGCCGGAGCUUCGUACUUGGGAGCGUAUUCGGCUGACCUGUAAGAAUCGGCGGCAGCGACAGCGAAAAGGGCGGCGAGGAUCAAGAACUAAUAAAAUAUGGAACAUUUGACGCCAUUUAAUAAGAUAUAGGUCUACAACUCUCCAUGACGUCCAUGCCCAUCUCCACAUCCUCUUUCAUGUCGUCCAUGUGUUGCUUUCAUUGCCCGUUUUACUCACUACCUGGUGCAAAACAAAAUAAUGGGUCCUCGGGUCACCUCAGCGCAUGCACUUUCAUAGGCACUUUCAUGCCGAAUCGAUGACCACGAAGCGCUUCACGCUCAAGGCCAGCACAUUUUUCUGAAUUGUGUAUCCAUAUUCUGAAUGCAGUUUUUGUCCAUUGUCGUCGUGUUUCCGUGAACCAAAUUUGUAUGCCGGAGCUUCAUACUUGGGAGCGUAUUCGGCUGACCUGUAAGAAUCGGCGGCAGCGACAGCGAAAAGGGCGGCGAGGAUCAAGAACUAAUAAAAUAUGGAUUAUUUGACACCAUUUAAUAAG
rnacentral:lncRNA from 1 species